CAUUUAAUUGUUUCGUAUACUGAGGAGCAACCAUUGUUUACAGUGCAAAACUCUUUAAAAGUAAACACAGUUUUUUGUAGUUUCAUAUAUCUACCAUAUCAUCAAAAUAACUUCAUCAAAGUGUCUCAAAUAAUUUCAACUGGUUGAGCUGCACUUUUUCCGGCCAAUUGUUAUUUUUUCCAUCGUGACCACACAAUAAAAUCGACCAUUUUGCGCUUUUGUUUGUGGUUAUCAUUUCGGGUUGAAAUUGCAAUUAAUUUCUCACACAUUUUUAAGUGAUUUUUAUGUCUUUUUUUCCGGCAUCCGGCUUUAUGCACUUUUUAUGUGCGUUAUUGUGUACUUAACCAAUGCAAUUUCCACGCCUCGUUUUAAAAUUGUUAAUUCGAUGUUCAUUUUGCAAUGAGCACUUUUUUCUGCGAGGGGUAAAAGGGUUUUAAGUGCCAGCCACUUUCGGUGACAUUGUUGUAAUUAUAAAUGAUAGCCGCAGCAACCGAAGCUCCGGAAGAACCUUACGCAAUUUGCACGCUGACAAAAAAGAAGUCCAUUAAAAUCGCAAAUCAAAACGAACCGAAACGAAACGAAACCAAACCAAACCAAACGCUUGACACAGUUCACGAUAAAUGGCAGUGGCCGGGGGAAGAUGGCACAAUCUUUUCGCACAAACAACAGAUGCAGCAGCCAAACCGCAACAAUGGCAAAGUCCUUGGCAAAGUAUUUCACUUUCACGCCGCAGCCACAAGAGUCGGGACUCGAGACCCCAGGACCCAUUCGCCCAACAGAUUUCGAUUGGGGCAAAGUUUUGCUUUUUGCCUACUGCAACUAGUUUUUUGUUCCAGCCUUAAAGCGAAUCAAUUAAGCUGAGCCAGCCGCAAAUUGAAGAGCAAGCUGCCGUAGUGUAACUGUCAUCAAAGAGGAAAUUGAAACUUCUAAAGAAAUUUCUCCUAUAAAGAAGAGCCAGUUACGAUCGAAAUAUUUUGCUUAAAUAUUGUCAUGUGCACAAAGAAAGGUUUUCUUUACUUAAAAAUAUUUAAAAUGUUGCACUGUGACUUUUAAGUUUGUCUAAAAGAAAUAUGCAAUUACAGACUAAAGUAUCCCAAUACUACUAUCUAUGCUCUAAAUAUUUGAAUAUAAUAGUUUUGACCCUGAAAUAAAAUUGUGUUUAAUGCUGCCCAUCAACGCCAUUAAACGCUGCAUUGUUGACCCUUUAAA